rnacentral:rRNA from 1 species
GUGGGGAAUCUUAGACAAUGGGCGCAAGCCUGAUCUAGCCAUGCCGCGUGAGUGAUGAAGGCCCUAGGGUUGUAAAGCUCUUUCAGCUGGGAAGAUAAUGACGGUACCAGCAGAAGAAGCCCCGGCUAACUCCGUGCCAGCAGCCGCGGUAAUACGGAGGGGGCUAGCGUUGUUCGGAAUUACUGGGCGUAAAGCGCACGUAGGCGGACUGGAAAGUUGGGGGUGAAAUCCCGGGGCUCAACCUCGGAACUGCCUUCAAAACUCCCAGUCUUGAGUUCGAGAGAGGUGAGUGGAAUUCCGAGUGUAGAGGUGAAAUUCGUAGAUAUUCGGAGGAACACCAGUGGCGAAGGCGGCUCACUGGCUCGAUACUGACGCUGAGGUGCGAAAGCGUGGGGAGCAAACAGGAUUAGAAACCCGAGUAGUCC